UUCAUCUGUUGAUGGGCAUCUAGGCUAGUUCUGUUUUCUUGCUUUCAUACUUAGAUCAGCAAUAAGACAGAUAUAUGAACAUCUCUAUGGCAGCAUAUAGA
rnacentral:miRNA from 1 species